GGCGGACGGGUGAGUAACGCGUGGGAAUCUACCCAGUAGUUGGGGGACAACUACCGGAAACGGUAGCUAAUACCGCAUACGCCCUAUGGGGGAAAGGCUUCGGCCGCUAUUGGAUGAGCCCGCGUCAGAUUAGCUAGUUGGUAGGGUAAAGGCCUACCAAGGCAACGAUCUGUAGCUGGUCUGAGAGGACGAACAGCCACACUGGGACUGAGACACGGCCCAGACUCCUACGGGAGGCAGUAGUGGGGAAUAUUGGACAAUGGGCGAAAGCCUGAUCCAGCAAUGCCGCGUGUGUGAAGAAGGCCUGCGGGUUGUAAAGCACUUUCAGUUGGGAAGAUGAUGACGUUACCAACAGAAGAAGCACCGGCUAAAUCCGUGCCAGCAGCCGCGGUAAUACGGAUGGUGCGAGCGUUAAUCGGAAUUACUGGGCGUAAAGCGCGC
rnacentral:rRNA from 1 species